UACGGAGGGGGGUUAGCGUUGUUCGGAAUUACUGGGGCGUAAAAGCGCACGUAGGCGGAUCAGAAAAGUUGGGGGGUGAAAUCCCGGGGCUCAACCCCGGAACUGCCUCCAAAAACUCCUGGUCUUGAGUUCGAGAGAGGUGAGUGGAAUUCCGAGUGUAGAGGUGAAAUUCGUAGAUAUUCGGAGGAACACCAGUGGCGAAGGCGGCUCACUGGCUCGAUACUGACGCUGAGGUGCGAAAGUGUGGGGAGCAAACAGGAUUAGAUACCCCGGUAGUCC
rnacentral:rRNA from 1 species